rnacentral:rRNA from 1 species
UACGUAGGGUGCAAGCGUUAAUCGGAAUUACUGGGCGUAAAGCGUGCGCAGGCGGUGAUGUAAGACAGAUGUGAAAUCCCCGGGCUCAACCUGUGAACUGCAUUUGUGACUGCAUCGCUGGAGUACGGCAGAGGGGGAUGGAAUUCCGCGUGUAGCAGUGAAAUGCGUAGAUAUGCGGAGGAACACCGAUGGCGAAGGCAAUCCCCUGGGCCUGUACUGACGCUCAUGCACGAAAGCGUGGGGAGCAAACAGG